rnacentral:rRNA from 1 species
GAUGAACGCUAGCUACAGGCUUAACACAUGCAAGUCGAGGGGAAACGGCAUUAAGUGCUUGCACUUUUUGGACGUCGACCGGCGCACGGGUGAGUAACGCGUAUCCAACCUUCCCAUGACUAAGGGAUAACCUGCCGAAAGGCAGACUAAUACCUUAUGGUCUUCACUGACGGCAUCAGAUGUGAAGUAAAGAUUUAUCGGCUAUGGAUGGGGAUGCGUCUGAUUAGCUUGUUGGCGGGGUAACGGCCCACCAAGGCAACGAUCAGUAGGGGUUCUGAGAGGAAGGUCCCCCACAUUGGAACUGAGACACGGUCCAAACUCCUACGGGAGGCAGCAGUGAGGAAUAUUGGUCAAUGGGCGAGAGCCUGAACCAGCCAAGUAGCGUGCAGGAAGACGGCCCUAUGGGUUGUAAACUGCUUUUGUAUGGGGAUAAAGUCAAUCACGUGUGAUUGUUUGCAGGUACCAUACGAAUAAGGACCGGCUAAUUCCGUGCCAGCAGCCGCGGUAAUACGGAAGGUCCGGGCGUUAUCCGGAUUUAUUGGGUUUAAAGGGAGCGUAGGCUGGAGAUUAAGUGUGUUGUGAAAUGUAGACGCUCAACGUCUGACUUGCAGCGCAUACUGGUUUCCUUGAGUACGCACAACGUUGGCGGAAUUCGUCGUGUAGCGGUGAAAUGCUUAGAUAUGACGAAGAACUCCGAUUGCGAAGGCAGCUGACGGGGGCGCAACUGACGCUGAAGCUCGAAGGUGCGGGUAUCGAACAGG